GCUCGCUGCACUCUCAAACGAGUUUAUGUAGUACAGAUGCAGCCCAUCCAGUAUAUACGGAGCAAAGGCCUCUGGAGCGCUGUAAUGGGGAUAAGCUGGCCAAUCAAUCCGAACCGUCUCUGAUCGCACUCUGCCCAAAUGAAACAGUAAGCAAUUCAGCAGAGUCUACUACACAUGCUUGAGAAGAUCAUAAUUUCAUUUGCUCUCUUACCCAAAUAUCUGAUCCAGCAGGCUGUCCUCCAUCUUGGAACGAGAGAAGACCUUGUACACCUUGUCUUUUUCACCGUACUUCUUUUGGACAGCGAUACUCGAGAAUGGGACCUCAGGAACCUCCAUGGUGCCCACCAGGUGGGGAAUCUCCGACUCAGAAUUCAGACCAAAGUAUCCCUUGAACAAGAGCAGCAGAUCAAUAACCAGUAAACUUGAAUAAAUUUACAUGGGAGAGAUAUGGGCGCCGCCAACUGGGUUCGGCCAUUGCUGGCCUGGAAUCAGGCUGGCCAGCUCUGAUCCCCACCCUGAGCGCCAUGGGCGGCUCUGAUAGUAUACUUACAGGAUUUAGGAGGCCCCUCACAAAGGUGGCGUGUGUGUGCUGCAGGCUCCUGCUUGGGAUUGAAAUCGGAGGAGAGAAGGAGAUGUUGAGCUCGUCCAGCGGCGUGGCGAUCACUGCAACUCCACAGAGGUAUUGAUUCCCUCUCUUUGAUUGGAGCUCGUACUGCCCUCCCUUGUAGGAGAUGGAGGUGAUCUCCUCGUGGAGAUUCAGUGUCGCAUUCGAGUGCUUGAUCAACCCAGCGGCCAUCUGCCAGUUGCCGCCCUGCACUGACCACAGCCCCGACUCUGAGCCCGCCAGGCCAACAGCACCAGCGAGCCCACUUAUGUCAACAUUUUGGCCGUAAUUUAUCCUCGUUAUAACCUGUGAAUGAUCCAGCAUCCAUUAAUGCCAAGGUCUCCUUUUUAUAUGGCGAGUAAAAUAUGAAAACAAAAUCAUGUAGGCGAAGAACAUGAAUAUUUCAGUGGAUUCAGAUACAUGUUGGCAUAUAAGUUCUGUAGUUUACUAACAUUAGAAAAUACAUGCAGAAGGCUGAUUGAUUGCACUCUGAAGUUUUCACAUUCUGAAACAAGAUUUUGGAAGUGGAAAUCCAUCCUGCUGAGUAAAUUUUCUUCAAUUUUCCCAGGAAACAAUGAACAUAAAUGGCAAAUGAAGAACAUAACACCGGUGGAACAUACAAAAAAAUAUGCAGCUCCGACAAGACGUUCAUGCCCACAGCCGGGAGAGACAGACGACGGGUAUCUACCACGUAAUAUAGAAGGGAUUGUCAGGGAUGCCAGGGGCCGAUCGAUUCUUUAAUUAGAAGAAACCUGUGAAGAAUGAAGAACACCCAUUUGAUCUUCUUGAUUACUCAUUGAUCACCUGAUCCCUCUCUAAAAAGGCCGAGAAAAUUACACACAAAUAAAUUUGUGAUCAGACUGUUUUUGAGGAAAGACGAUAUUCUUGAACAAUAGAGGUUGCCAGGGAUGCCAGGGGCCGAUCGAUGCUUUAAUUAGAAGAAAGAUGUGAAGAAUGAAGAGCACCCAUAUGAUCAGACUGUUCUUGAGGAAAUACUAUAUUCUUGUACAGUAUAAUCUCUUCUCCUUUUUCCCCC
rnacentral:lncRNA from 1 species